UCUUAACGUAAAAAGGUAAUAAAAUAUAAACCUAUUUCCUUUGACGGCCUUUUUUCUAAUCAAAGGAACCUGUUAAUUAAUCGAGAUUACACGUUCAGUUUUUCUUACUUUUUGUUUUUAUACCGUCGUCUAAAGAUCACGCUUAAAAGCAUGCUCAUAUUUGGUAAAUCAACUAAGUCAGAUCAAGGUGAAGCUUAUAAGUAAGGCACUAAUGGGUUAUUCAUAAAAAUAAUUUUAGGAUUAGGAUUAAAAAAUUCUAUAAAUUAAGAUUUGGAAGUACUUAUUAGAUAAUAACUAACAAGGAAAAAGUAAAAUAAG
rnacentral:rRNA from 1 species